AUGGCGAAGCCAAACCGGAUGAGCCUCACUGUCGGCGCGAGAAGAGUUUUCGACUUCAAGGUCGAAGACUACUCCUUGGCUCGAACGAUGGCCGGAGUUGGGGAGUCCUUCCAGUCCGACACCUUCUCCGUCGGCGGCUACGACUGGGCCGUGCGCUUCUCCCCGUGGAGUUCAUCGCUCAAUCUCGUGCUUUUGAGCGAGCUGCAGGCCAUCGAGCGCGUCGGGGCGAAGUUUGCGUUCACGCUGCUCGACAAGUCCGGCAAGCCGUCGGCGGCUGUGCGGAAGAAGAAGUGUUCGGAGUUCCUGCUCAAGGGCCAAGAACAUGGCUUUUACGGUUUCGUGAGCCGUGCAGAUCUGGGGAAGUACAUGCGCAGAGACUGCUUCGUCGUGCGCUGCUCCGUUUCUGUUCUCAGGCGACCAACAAGGCGCUAG
rnacentral:rRNA from 1 species